UAGGGAAUAUUGCACAAUGGAGGAAACUCUGAUGCAGCAACGCCGCGUGAGUGAUGAAGGAUUUAGGUUUGUAAAGCUCUGUUGCAUGGGGAAAAGAUUGCGUAGCUAACAUCUGCGCAGUUUGAUGGUACCAUGUAAGAAAGGGACGGCUAACUUCGUGCCAGCAGCCGCGGUAAUACGAAGGUCCCUAGCGUUGUUCGGAAUCAUUGGGCGUAAAGCGUAUGUAGGUGGCUUUGAAAGUCGGGUGUGA
rnacentral:rRNA from 1 species